rnacentral:rRNA from 1 species
CUAGAGUCACUCCUACGGGAGGCAGCAGUGGGGAAUAUUGGACAAUGGGCGCAAGCCUGAUCCAGCAAUGCCGCGUGUGUGAAGAAGGCCUUCGGGUUGUAAAGCACUUUUAUCAGGAGCGAAAUACUACUGGCUAAUAACCGGUGGGGCUGACGGUACCUGAGGAAUAAGCACCGGCUAACUUCGUGCCAGCAGCCGCGGUAAUACGAAGGGUGCAAGCGUUAAUCGGAAUUACUGGGCGUAAAGCGUGCGUAGGCGGUGAGUUAAGUCUGUUGUGAAAUCCCCGGGCUCAACCUGGGAAUGGCAAUGGAUACUGGCUCGCUAGAGUGUGAUAGAGGAUGGUGGAAUUCCCGGUGUAGCGGUGAAAUGCGUAGAGAUCGGGAGGAACAUCAGUGGCGAAGGCGGCCAUCUGGAUCAACACUGACGCUGAGGCACGAAAGCGUGGGGAGCAAACAGGAUUAGAUACCCUGGUAGUCCACGCCCUAAACGAUGCGAACUGGAUGUUGGUCUCAACUCGGAGAUCAGUGUCGAAGCUAACGCGUUAAGUUCGCCGCCUGGGGAGUACGGUCGCAAGACUGAAACUCAAAGGAAUUGACG